rnacentral:rRNA from 1 species
UACAGAGGUCUCAAGCGUUGUUCGGAUUCAUUGGGCGUAAAGGGUGCGUAGGUGGCGCCGUAAGUCGGGUGUGAAAUUUCGGAGCUUAACUCCGAAAACUGCAUUCGAUACUGCGGUGCUUGAGGACUGGAGAGGAGACUGGAAUUCAUGGUGUAGCAGUGAAAAUGCGUAGAGAUCAUGAGGAAGACCAGUGGCGAAGGCGGGUCUCCUGGACAGUUCCUGACACUGAGGCACGAAGGCCAGGGGAGCAAACGGG